AUUGAACGCUGGCGGCAUGCUUUACACAUGCAAGUCGAACGGCAGCACAGGGAGCUUGCUCCCGGGUGGCGAGUGGCGCACGGGUGAGUAAUACAUCGGAACGUGUCCUGUUGUGGGGGAUAACUGCUCGAAAGGGUGGCUAAUACCGCAUGAGACCUGAGGGUGAAAGCGGGGGAUCGCAAGACCUCGCGCAAUUGGAGCGGCCGAUGCCCGAUUAGCUAGUUGGUGAGGUAAAGGCUCACCAAGGCGACGAUCGGUAGCUGGACUGAGAGGUUGAACGGCCACAUUGGGACUGGUCGUCCUCU
rnacentral:rRNA from 1 species